rnacentral:rRNA from 1 species
UGGGGAAUAUUGGACAAUGGGCGAAAGCCUGAUCCAGCCAUGCCGCGUGUGUGAAGAAGGUCUUCGGAUUGUAAAGCACUUUAAGUUGGGAGGAAGGGCAGUAAGUUAAUACCUUGCUGUUUUGACGUUACCGACAGAAUAAGCACCGGCUAACUCUGUGCCAGCAGCCGCGGUAAUACAGAGGGUGCAAGCGUUAAUCGGAAUUACUGGGCGUAAAGCGCGCGUAGGUGGUUCGUUAAGUUGGAUGUGAAAGCCCCGGGCUCAACCUGGGAACUGCAUCCAAAACUGGCAGGCUAGAGUACGGUAGAGGGUGGUGGAAUUUCCUGUGUAGCGGUGAAAUGCGUAGAUAUAGGAAGGAACACCAGUGGCGAAGGCGACCACCUGGACUGAUACUGACACUGAGGUGCGAAAGCGUGGGGAGCAAACA